GGCCAGAUAGCUCAGUUGGUAGAGCACGGCACUGAAAAUGCCGGUGUCCCCGGUUCAAGUCCGGGUCUGGCCA
rnacentral:tRNA from 1 species